GAAUAAUCAAGGUGGACAACAAUACAAAAAUAUUGAUUCCACCUUGUAAACUUGGCAAGUUCCCUUUCGCUUGGUAACCUUUGGGUGUUGCCUUCAAAUCCAAAGGUGUGAGCAAUAAAGUGAUAACAAGGGUGAGCAUUAGAGUGAUUGGAUUUGCAGAAAGGAAAUAAUUAAGAAAGUUGGGAAUCUUAAAAAAUUUAGAUUACAAUUAUAAAGAACACUUUAUCCAGUCUCCCUACUCACUUAAAUCCUUUU
rnacentral:misc_RNA from 1 species